CAAAGAGAAAACUGCCAGGAUGCAAAAUCAUUGCCAGAGAGACUGUGACAGGAAGAGGAAGUAAAACCGGAGCAGGUGGUGGACAAACGCCAUUGGACCAAAUACAAAACAUACAUGCCAUUGAAUCUGAUUUAAGGGCAUGGAGCGUUCUCACACCUUUCAGAUUAUUACAAGCACUGAAGCCAGCAGAUGAAAAUGAGAUGGCUGAUGCUAGUCCCUUUCCAGAACUUUACCAGAAAGCAAACUCAUUUGGCCCAGCAAAAGCCCAAGCUGGAAAAUACUCAGAACAAGUCCCUCCAAGAAUAUUCCAGACCAAGGAUAUACAUUUAACAAUGAAAUCUUCCAAAUGCUAGUAAAAAGCACAGAACUUGAGGAUGCUUGGUGUUCAGAUUUGUUGGAGAAAUAUCUGAUCAUCUUUGCAUAUUUAAACUGAAGAGACAACCAGCUUUACAGCUCAGACCAACAGAUCUCCUCUUACUUCCUGAAAGGACAUACUAUUAAGCUUGGAUUUCAAUACGAUGGGCCUUACUAAGGAAAAGAGACCAAAAAAAAAAAAAUUAAAUUCAUGGGGAAACAAAGAAAUUCGAGCUCCUAAGCAAAUAUAAACUUACUUCUGGAUAUCCUCCAAUGCACUUUUUCUUAGUGAAUUCUUUCUAUGAGUCACUGGUGUGGUAAAAUACUAGCAAACAAAUUUCAUAAUCACGUAAUUUCAUGAUCUUUCUCUGCCAGACUCACAUUCUGCUUCUUAAUUGUUUCUCCAUACAAUAUACACUGGAGAGGCAUGACAGGAUUCGAUAAUCCAAAGACGGCAUCGUGCCAGUGCCUUCCCAUGCAAUAAGGCAAGUGAACUUCCCUGUGUUCAUGUGUGCCAGGAAAAGUGCUUUAUGUAUGAGUGAAGCUCACAAUACAUUGGCUGAUAUGGAUAGCUUUUAACAUCUUUAUUUCAAUCAAGAGCAAGAUUGUUACAGUUCGCUGUGACAAUGUAGUGCUUGGGCCUCAUAGAAUUGUAUCGUUUGUUCUAUGUAUCUUCAAUUUUGCAAGAGUCCUGAGCAUCUCCAAAUAGAAAAUUACUUUUGAAAGGUGUAAUACGCUGCUCCAAAAAGCACGUUCAAUACAAAUUGUU